AUUGAACGCUGGCGGCAGGCUUAACACAUGCAAGUCGAGCGGAGAUGAGGUGCUUGCACCUUAUCUUAGCGGCGGACGGGUGAGUAAUGCUUAGGAAUCUGCCAUUUAGUGGGGGACAACAUUCCGAAAGGAAUGCUAAUACCGCAUACGUCCUACGGGAGAAAGCAGGGGAUCUUCGGACCUUGCGCUAAAUGAUGAGCCUAAGUCGGAUUAGCUAGUUGGUGGGGUAAAGGCCUACCAAGGCGACGAUCUGUAGCGGGUCUGAGAGGAUGAUCCGCCACACUGGGACUGAGACACGGCCCAGACUCCUACGGGAGGCAGCAGUGGGGAAUAUUGGACAAUGGGCGGAAGCCUGAUCCAGCCAUGCCGCGUGUGUGAAGAAGGCCUUUUGGUUGUAAAGCACGUUAAGCGAGGAGGAGGCUACUAGUACUAAUACUACUGGAUAGUGGACGUUACUCGCAGAAUAAGCACCGGCUAACUCUGUGCCAGCAGCCGCCGUAAGAC
rnacentral:rRNA from 1 species